GACGAACGCUGGCGGCGUGCUUAACACAUGCAAGUCGAACGGAAAGGCCCUGCUUUUGUGGGGUGCUCGAGUGGCGAACGGGUGAGUAACACGUGAGUAACCUGCCCUUUACUUUGGGAUAACUUCAGGAAACUGGGUCUAAUACCGGAUAGGAGCUCCUGCUGCAUGGUGGGUGUUGUAAAGUUUCGGCGUUUGUGGAUGGACUCGCGGCUUAUCAGCUUGUUGGUGGGGUAGUGGAUUACAAAGGCUUUGACGGGUAGCCGGCCUGAGAGGGUGACAGGCCACAGUGGGACUGAGGUACGGCCCAGACUCAAACGGGAGGAAGCAGUGGGGAAUAUUGCAAGAUGGGCGGAAGGCUGAAGGAGGGACGCCGCGUGCGGGAUGACGGCCGUAGGGUUGUAAACCGCUUUCGCCUGUAAAGAAGAGUGAGUGACGGUAAUGGGUAAAGAAGCACCGGCUAACUACGUG
rnacentral:rRNA from 1 species